UACGUAGGGUGCAAGCGUUGUCCGGAAUUAUUGGGCGUAAAGAGCUCGUAGGCGGUCUGUCGCGUCGGCUGUGAAAACCCGGAGCUCAACUCCGGGCCUGCAGUCGAUACGGGCAGACUGGAGUUCGGCAGGGGAGACUGGAAUUCCUGGUGUAGCGGUGAAAUGCGCAGAUAUCAGGAGGAACACCGAUGGCGAAAGCAGGUACCUGGACCAUUACUGGCACUCAGCUGCGAAAGCUAGGGGAGCAAACAGG
rnacentral:rRNA from 1 species